rnacentral:rRNA from 1 species
ACAUCCAGAGAAUUUAGCAGAGAUGCUUUAGUGCCUUCGGGAACUCUGAGACAGGUGCUGCAUGGCUGUCGUCAGCUCGUGUUGUGAAAUGUUGGGUUAAGUCCCGNAACGAGCGCAACCCUUAUCCUUUGUUGCCAGCACGUAAUGGUGGGAACUCAAAGGAGACUGCCGGUGAUAAACCGGAGGAAGGUGGGGAUGACGUCAAGUCAUCAUGGCCCUUACGAGUAGGGCUACACACGUGCUACAAUGGCGCAUACAAAGAGAAGCGACUUCGCGAGAGCAAGCGGACCUCAUAAAGUGCGUCGUAGUCCGGAUUGGAGUCUGCAACUCGACUCCAUGAAGUCGGAAUCGCUAGUAAUCGUAAAUCAGAAUGUUACGGUGAAUACGUUCCCGGGCCUUGUACACACCGCCCGUCACACCAUGGGAGUGGGUUGCAAAAGAAGUAGAUAGCUUAACCUUCGGGAGGGCGUUUACCACUUUGUGAUUCAUGACUGGGGUGAAGUCGUAACAAGGUAGGCGUAGUGCU